GUGGGGCGUCCGUUGGCUGUGCGGGAUGUAUCAAGUUCGCAGUCACGUCCGGUCAGAUUGGGGACGUUAAAUCCGAUGCCUCGUGUAAAGAGAGUGCCACGCUCUUUGCACGUUAAGAACCCAUGCAACAACUCUUUGGGGGUCCGUAGGUGACCUGUUGCAAGGCAAAAUUUCUGUCCCUAUCCAAUAUACCCUCAUUUUCCAAUGGCAGUCCAAAUUUCCCCGACUAUCAUCCCGAACGGCCUCUAUUAUGACAAGACCUACAUAUUGUAUUUAUUGUAAACUUGUUCUCGUCCUGAAUAUGCAUGAAAUAUUUGCCACUGGACGUUAAGCAAC
rnacentral:lncRNA from 1 species